UACAGAGGCCUCGAGCGUUAGGCGGAAUCACUGGGCGUAAAGCGUGCGUAGGUGGGAAUUUAAGUGAGAUGUGAAAUCGUGUGGCUCAACCAUAUCGUUGUAUCUCAUACUGGGUUCCUAGAGGACGGCAGAGGCAAGUGGAACUAGCAGUGUAGCAGUGAAAUGCGUAGAUAUUGCUAAGAACACCGAAUGGCGAAGGCAGCUUGCUGGGCCACUCCUGACACUGGAGGUACGAAAGCGUGGGGAGCGAACAGG
rnacentral:rRNA from 1 species